rnacentral:rRNA from 1 species
GACGAACGCUGGCGGCGUGCCUAAUACAUGCCAGUAGAACGCUGAAGAGAGGAGCUUGCUCUUCUUGGAUGAGUUGCGAACGGGUGAGUAACGCGUAGGUAACCUGCCUUGUAGCGGGGGAUAACUAUUGGAAACGAUAGCUAAUACCGCAUAACAAUGGAUGACACAUGUCAUUUAUUUGAAAGGGGCAAUUGCUCCACUACAAGAUGGACCUGCGUUGUAUUAGCUAGUAGGUGAGGUAAUGGCUCACCUAGGCGACGAUACAUAGCCGACCUGAGAGGGUGAUCGGCCACACUGGGACUGAGACACGGCCCAGACUCCUACGGGAGGCAGCAGUAGGGAAUCUUCGGCAAUGGGGGCAACCCUGACCGAGCAACGCCGCGUGAGUGAAGAAGGGUUUCGGAUCGUAAAGCUCUGUUGUAAGUCAAGAACGGGUGUGAGAGUGGAAAGUUCACACUAUGACGGUAGCUUACCAGAAAGGGACGGCUAACUACGUG